AGUGGAGCUAUGGAGUGAGAAAGUGGGUACUGCUUUUCCUGUUUUAAGGGCCUGCAUGUUCAGAAGCAGCAGUGUGGCAUGGGAGAUGUUAUAGCAGCAGAGUCAGGGGCCAGUUCUUUCACUGCCUGAUAACUUGGGCUUUCCAAGGGAAAGGGAGGGAGGUGGUCACUGCGGGUGAGACAAAGAAAGUGCUUGGUAAGGGAUUUCUGGGAUCCUUGAGCCCAGAGUGGAUUAGAUGGGAUUAGAGACCCACUCUGAGCUGUUUCUACCUGCAUCUUAAUCCACUCCAGAGCUGAGGCUUCCUGAUCCCUCUAACCAGGUGCAUGCUCACUGGGCUUCCAGCUUCCAAGCCUUCUACCUGUGGAAUGCUUGGUCCAAUGUCUGGGGCACCCACUCUUACUCCAAACUCCUCCAGAUCUGCAGAGUGGCCCAGCAUAUUCUCUUCUUGAAAGGAGGUCUUUGCCUAACAGAAACCCAGCCUCAUCAGCCCGUUUUCUUAUUGCCACAAAAAAACCUGUGCAGCCGCUGACCUCCUCUGUGACCUCGGGCAAGUCCUUUCCUUACACUGGGCAUUCACUGCCCCAUCUAUAAGCAGAAGGUAAUAGACCAGCCCAUCUCUAUGCCGGAGAACUUUGUCUUCAAACCCCACAGCCUUCUCUUUGCGCUGAGGGCAGGGCUACUGGUCGAUGCAGGAGGAGGAGGCCUUGGAGAGGUCCCUCUGAUGAGGAAGCCCAUCCGAGCGGCUCUCAUAGGCCACACACUUGAAACCAAGUGCGCGUCUCCACUUGAACGGUAAAAUCUCUCGGUGCUGACCCAAGGCUCUGAUGAUCUUGGGUGGUGUUUAUCAACCCUGAGUAAUCGUUUCUUCAUCUGCAAGAUGGAAUAAAAAGGCCUACCUCAUUGGGCUCGUGUGGGUGAGGAGAACUGAAGAGUCUGAGAGCGCGGCACGAGCCAGAGGCUACGGAAAACACUGCCCUCCUACACUCCACCUUGGAGAGACCCAGAAAAGAACAAGCUUCAUUUGUAAAAAAGGAAAACAGCUCAUGGGGGUGGCUUAAAGAACUUGGAAUAACUUGCAGUGUCUUGCAGUAUUGUGAAACCAGCAACUUGUUCACAAUUCUUCUGAAUUUCUUGGGAAAUUUGAAGUGGAGUACCUGUACCAACAUGAAAUGACACGAAUUUAAGUGAAGCUCAACAACGAAAAGCAAAAAGAACCAAAGAGGAAGCAACUGAAACAACAUCUGGAUGUAUUUAAAAAUAUACAAUGCCUCCAAAAUCAGGUGUCAUUAAUGAAAAUUCUGAAGAAAUGCCACCGGACAUAGCCAACACACCUACGCUAUUGUUAUUCAUUUCCUGCUUUUCACAGAAAACAAUUUUGUUGCAUGGAAGAUUGUGAACUUCAAAGAGCAGAGGGGAAACUCUCCCUUGGCCCCUACCCCUCCAAGGCCCCACUUUUUCGUCAACACUCCUUGGACGCAGCAGAAGUAUGAACAUAAUAUGGUCCUGAAUGAGGCUGAGUCUUUGGGCGCAGAAGACCCGGGUUAAUAAAAAUAGGAAGGUAAGAAAAGAAAAGAAAAAUCAAGACACAUCAUAGGACUAAAUUCCUAUUAUUUAUCCACUCAGGAUUGACCACCCUUUUGGGCCAGAUAGUUGUACCCCCAUGUACCAGGUGGGCACAUGAAGACACAAGAAGUGCUGUGAUGGUUCAUUUUGCAUGUCACCUUGCGUGGAGUAUGCCAACUCAUUGUUUGGUCAAAUGCUAGUCUGGACAUGGUGGUAAAGGUAUUUUUUAGAUGAGAUUAACGCUUAAAUCAGUAAAGCAGGUUACCCACCAUACUAUGGGUGGGCCCUGUCCAAUCAGUUGAAGGCAUUAAGAACAAAGAUUGAGGUUUCCUAAAGAAGAUGGAAUUCUCCUUGAGACUACAACAUAGAAACCCUAUCUGAGUUUCCAGCCUGCUGCCCUGUGGAAUUCGAACUCAGGACUCCAGUCUAUGACAUUAACCCUCACUUAACUUUUCAGCCUGCCAGCCUGCCCUAUGGAUUUCAGACUUGCCAGCCACACAAUUCCUUAAAAUAAAUCUCUCUGUCUCUGUCU
rnacentral:lncRNA from 1 species